rnacentral:rRNA from 1 species
AGUGAACACUGGCGGUAGGCCUAACACAUGCAAGUCGAACGGCAGCACAGGAGAGCUUGCUCUCUGGGUGGCGAGUGGCGGACGGGUGAGGAAUACAUCGGAAUCUACUUUUUCGGGGGGGAUAACGUAGGGAAACUUACGCUAAUACCGCAUACGACCUACGGGUGAAAGCAGGGGAUCUUCGGACCUUGCGCGAUUGAAUGAGCCGAUGUCGGAUUAGCUAGUUGGCGGGGUAAAGGCCCACCAAGGCGACGAUCCGUAGCUGGUCUGAGAGGAUGAUCAGCCACACUGGAACUGAGACACGGUCCAGACUCCUACGGGAGGCAGCAGUGGGGAAUAUUGGACAAUGGGCGCAAGCCUGAUCCAGCCAUACCGCGUGGGUGAAGAAGGCCUUCGGGUUGUAAAGCCCUUUUGUUGGGAAAGAAAUCCAGCUGGUUAAUACCCGGUUGGGAUGACGGUACCCAAAGAAUAAGCACCGGCUAACUUCGUGCCAGCCGCCGCGGUAA